rnacentral:lncRNA from 1 species
UAAAUAAUGCAGGCAUUGUGAUGUAGCAUUAGGCUACUAUUGAUCUUCUGAUCAUAUGUCAGAAGGAGGAUCAUCUGCUGUGGGUGUUCCUGAUCUUUGAGCCAUGAUAAUGUUACUGGUUGGAUGUCAGGAGCAGGCCAUGUGGAUGAUUAAAAGAUGAAUAUCAUAUACAGCAUGGAUAUGUUGGACAAAAAGAUGAUUCACAUCCCAGACAGAAUGGAGCAGCACAUUUAUUAAAAGCCAGAAGCUAGAAGACGAGGAAAGAAGAGGUGGUUAAAGAAAGAUACAGUAACAGCAGUAAUAUCUAACAGGAAGGCUACAGGGGAAAAUACAGAAAUUCCAUAAAGAACAAACACUGUAACUCAAAACCAAAGCUUUGCUAGUCACUAGUGCCCGCUACAUCCUAACAGAGUUGUUAUGUAAAACCUCCCAGCGAAAGAAAUAGUCCAGAAAGCUUGAAGAGAAACUGAAAUUUGAAAAAUCUACCUAAAAAGGUGAUAAAGGAUUUUCAGUUUUGCAAAAAACGCAAUACAGAGUGUCUUUGGAAAGAAAGUUCUCAUAUGGAUUUAAAAUAUGAUUCAAUUUACAGAAGUCAGAGUUGUUCUUCCAGAUGGCAUGAAUCCAACAGUGAAGAAAUCAGAAUACGUUGCUUUUGUGAGGGGCAGCUGCUGAUUUUCUCUGAGCUCCGUUUCCAGCCUUCACAUGCUCUGCUAUUCAUCACAGGGUAAAUUCUGACUAUAGGAGGUACUGACAGAAGAUUAGGGAAGAACAGAGGGCUAAAUGUUUAUUGACUUCUUGAAAAAUGCUAUGUGUCUUGCCAGACUUAGCUUACAAGUUUGGUUAAAGAGAGACUGACAUGAGCAUAAAGGAAGGGACAUUGAAAGAGGCAGAGAUGAAGGAAGAAAUUGUAACUUACUCCUUUUAUCCCACCCAUCAAAGGAAAGACAAGUUGACAAGUAUUGAUUCUGCAACAAACUGAGAAGAAACCUGGCGAUUCACAACAGAGAGCUGAGAAAUCCUAAGUCUGGAUUCCAGCUAAAUGGGAGCAGACUAAAUAGAGCGGCAGUCGGCGAACUACAUGUAGCCCAUGAACAAAAUCCGGUCCAGCACGUGUGUUUUUUUUUACGGCCCACAAAUGAGUCUGUCUUUACAGAUGAAUGUUAAAACUGGGUUGACAAGAGAGAACACUCACUUUGAACCGCAACUAAACAAAAUAUUAUCACCUUUCCCCUCAAAAAAGGUGUCUGAGGGCAAGGGUUGAAUGAGGAGAAAAAGAAAGAAACAAGAAGAUAAUGAACUUAGCUUUAAAGAUGUUGGACCCUUUGAUUGGAUAGGUAGAAAAUGGUCUGCAAUUUGAUAGCUCCAAUAAAAUACAACACGAGUGAAAAAAACGUGAAGGUCUUCUGCUGUAGAGGCAGCUAAUGCCUGCCGAAGUAAACAGUAAGCUGGAAAGAAACCAGGGUUGAGGCUGCAGCAUGCUGUGUGUCUAUGUGUUUGCACAUGUGGAUUUUGUGUAACAGGCCAGAGAAAGAGAGCAUUGUAUAAAUGCAUAAGAAAGGUUGAAAUACCUGAGGAACUAAAAGAAAAUGUUUGCUUUUUAUGUGUCUAUAUUUUAUAACUUUAUCUCAUUAUU